rnacentral:rRNA from 1 species
UGGGGAAUAUUGCGCAAUGGGCGGAAGCCUGACGCAGCGACGCCGCGUGGGGGAUGACGGCCUUCGGGUUGUAAACCUCUUUCGACCUUGACGAAGCCUUUCGGGGUGACGGUACCUGGAUAAGAAGCACCGGCUAACUACGUGCCAGCAGCCGCGGUAAUACGUAGGGUGCGAGCGUUGUCCGGAAUUAUUGGGCGUAAAGAGCUCGUAGGCGGUUUGUCGCGUCGGCCGUGAAAUCUCCACGCUUAACGUGGAGCGUGCGGUCGAUACGGGCAGACUUGAGUUCGGCAGGGGAGACUGGAAUUCCUGGUGUAGCGGUGAAAAUGCGCAGAUAUCAGGAGGAACACCGGUGGCGAAGGCGGGUCUCCGGGCCGAUACUGACGCUGAGGAGCGAAAGCGUGGGGAGCG